GCGUGAGGGCAGCGUGGGGCGCGACCUUUCUUUUUCCCAUGGAGCCCCGCAGCCUGAUGGUGGGACAGACGCCAGCAGAGAGCGCGCACAGCAGAAGACUUCAGGGCUGAAGGCAAGUGGACAUCAUAGUGGGAGGCCCGGCUCACUUCGGUACAGUCUUCAAAGGGCUUUGGCUUCUCUGCAUUUUCAGUUGCACUGGAAAUUGGGACAGCACUGUCUUUCCUUGUGGAGCCUAGAGGAAUGAUGCAUCACAGCCAAUCUGGAUCCCAGGAAGAGCAAUCCGACCCGCCACCAGCAGCCAAGCGUCUAACGAGAUGAGAACGCCGUCGUCUCCGCAACCUGGUGUACCAGAUGACAACCUUGCACCUAGACCGGGAGCCCAGUCCGGAGAUACCCCCGGAGAGACAAGAAAUCAUGGAGAUUAUGCGCCUAUACAGACGGGCAAAAGCAAGCCCCCUGCACCUCCAUAACCCCCACCCAAGCAUUGCUUCCCUUCUAAUGAUCAUGCUUGCCCUCGCCUCUUCCACCCAGGCCAACUCACUACACCAACCUUUUAACUGGACAGUCCAUAUCAUGGGGGGGAUAGAGAAGGACCUCCUCUAUAAGGUUACAGCCGAGGCUCCUUCGUUUACUGCCAGCAUUUGUGAUUUUGUUCAAUUCACAGGUUUAAACAACAAUAAUUGGUUACGUAAUCAAUGCCAAGGCGGCCUCGUUUCUGGUUACUACAUUUGUCCCUCCACAGGCAAAGGCUGUGCUGACCCCUCGCAUUUUUAUUGCCCCUCUUGGGGGUGUGAAACAAUGGCCUACGGAUGGUCUGAAGCUCCCAAUAGAGAUCAGCACCUCCAAGUGUCAUGGACAGAGCCAAAUUGGCGCAAUAUAACCCUUAAGGUUAAAAACCCCGGCGAGGACAAUUGGUUUAGUGGCCGCACAUAUGGCUUCCACCUCUACAUGGAGGGCUAUGAUUGGGGUGGUCUCUUCUCCAUACAAAAGAGACACCCCACCGCCACCGAUCCGAGCGGCGUUGGCCCCAACAAAGUCCUUAACCCCCUUAAUCCACGGCCCUCCAGCCGCACCUCAGCUGCAAACGGCACAUCGCCAGCCCCACCACCCCAACCUUUUCUGCCCCCCUCUCAUUACUCCUCUCCCCUCCUCGGCCUUAU